rnacentral:rRNA from 1 species
UGGGGAAUUUUGGACAAUGGGCGAAAGCCUGAUCCAGCAAUGCCGCGUGUGUGAAGAAGGCCUUCGGGUUGUAAAGCACUUUUGUCCGGAAAGAAAUCCUUGGCUCUAAUACAGUCGGGGGAUGACGGUACCGGAAGAAUAAGCACCGGCUAACUACGUGCCAGCAGCCGCGGUAAUACGUAGGGUGCAAGCGUUAAUCGGAAUUACUGGGCGUAAAGCGUGCGCAGGCGGUUUGCUAAGACCGAUGUGAAAUCCCCGGGCCCAACCUGGGAACUGCAUUGGUGACUGGCAGGCUAGAGUAUGGCAGAGGGGGGUAGAAUUCCACGUGUAGCAGUGAAAUGCGUAGAGAUGUGGAGGAAUACCGAUGGCGAAGGCAGCCCCCUGGGCCAAUACUGACGCUCAUGCACGAAAGCGUGGGGAGCAAACAGGAUUAGAUACCCUGGUAUCCACGCCCUAAACGAUGUC